rnacentral:rRNA from 1 species
CCUACGGGGGGCAGCAGUGAGGAAUAUUGCGCAAUGGCCGGAAGCCUGAACCAGCCAUGUCGCGUGAAUGAUGACUGCCCUACGGUUUGUAAACUUCUUUUAUAAAGGAAUAAAGUGAGGCACGUGUACCUUUGUGUAUGUACUUUAUGAAUAAGGAUCGGCUAACUCCGUGCCAGCAGCCGCGGUAAUACGGAGGAGCCGAGCGUUAUCCGGAUUUAAUGGGUUUAAAGGGAGCGUAGAUGGGUUGUUAAGUCAGUUGUGAAAGUUUGCGGCUCAACCGUAAAAUUGCAAUUGAUACUGGCUGUCUUGAGUACAGUAGAGGUAGGCGGAAUUCGUGGUGUAGCGGUGAAAUGCUUAGAUAUCACGAAGAACUCCGAUUGCGAAGGCAGCUUCCUAAGCUGCCACUGACAUUGAUGCUCGAAAGUGUGGGUAUCAAACAGGAUUAGAUACCCGGGUAGUC